AAAGCCGCAUUUUCCGCACCCAACGAUGACGGAUGGAUAGUUUUGGCUGGCUUUAGGAAAUUUGAAUUUUCUUUUCCUCCAAAACGUAGAAAAUUCGCAUUAAAAGUGGCUUUUAGUUGGUAAAAUCGCGAGUUCCGGUACGAGUGCGAGUGGUGAAUGUGAAAUUGAAUACGGAAGUGUCGAAUAAAGCGAGUAAUUCGCGAUUUUCUAAAAGCUGAUUAAUUAUUUUUUUUUGUCGGGAAAAAUCGCGAUAAAAUCCCCGCAAAUGAAAAUGUGGCACGAGGCUCGAAAGCAGGAAAAAAAGAUCCGCGGCAUGCUGGUGGACUACCGGAAGCGGGCAGAGCGGCGGCAGGACUUUUACGAGCGAAUAAAAGCCGAUCCGACGCAGUUUCUUCAAGUUCACGGUCGCAAAGGCAAGAUCCACCUGGACGCGAGCGUGGCGGCAGCUGCCGAGAAUCCAGCCAUCAUGAUGCCGUGGCAGGGCCAAAAGGACAACCUGAUUGAUCGGUUCGACGUGCGCGCCCAUCUGGACUACAUCGCGCCCGUCGUCAGCAAACCGGACCAGCCGGCCACGGCCGAGGAUGACGUGCUGGACAUGGAGGAGCGCUCCAUGAACUACGAGCGGUAUCGCGUACUCGCGCAGAACGAGUUCCUCGGUAUCAGCGAGGAAAAGUUCUUGCAUCAGCUUUUUCUGGAGGAGCAGUUUGGGGUGAAUGCCCAGGUUGAGGCGGAACAGCGGGCUUCUACGUCGAAGAAGAAGGCAGCUGCGGGUGGGGGCGUGGCGAUCGGGUACACUUACGAGGAGUCCGAACCGAGUGGGGUGGUUCCGUUUACGCAGACGAUAACGGCUAUUGAGCAGUCUGCGGGGACGUCCAAGUAUGACGAGUGUAUGAAGAGCGACUCGGACUCGGAUCUGGACAUGGACGUGUCGAUUGAUAUCAACAAGGUGGGGACGACACAGGCCCACGAGAUGAAUGCGUGUGGGAGACAUUACGGAAUGAAGAGCAAUGACUUUUACUCGUACCUGACGAAGGAUUCCGACGAAGCGGAGGCGCUGCGGAUGGCACGGGAGGAAGAACAGGAGAAGAUCAUGUUCAGUGGGAGGAAGAGCCGGAGGGAACGUCGUGCUCAGCGGGAACGGAAAUUUGCCGGUCGACCGUUGAGUCCGCCGAGCUAUGCUGCGAAGGAAGAACUAGUUCCUCGGACGUACGACGAUCCGAACGACAGCUCGCGAUCACCUUCGCCCGUCAAUUCAGGGAAAAUUACCUAUAUUACCUCAUUUGGUGGCGAGGAUGAACUCCAGCCGCACUCGAAGAUAUCGAUUAGCUUUAACAAGGACAGUCAGGGUGGGGCGGGCUCGUCACGGGGCGGUGCCAGCACGUCGUACGCCGAAAAGGUCAAGCAGAACCUGGAAAAGUUGAAGAGCAUAAGCACAAAGGAGGAGGAGAACAAGAUGCCGGCGCAGUACCAGCGGAGAUCCCGCAGCUACAGCGAUCGCAGCCGCAGUGGAUCCAGAUCGCGCAGAAGACGCCGCAGCCGAUCACGUGGCAAGCGAACCUACUCCAAGUACCGCCGAAGGUCACGCUCGGUAGCAUCGAGGUCCAGGUCGCGAUCGCGCGGCUACCGCAGCAGUCGAAGAUCGCCGGACUAUUCGUCGCGUCGCCGCAAGACUCGAUCGUCCUCUUCCCGAUCAUCAACCCCACCCGUUCGUAAACCCGCCCGGAAAAGUUCCAGCUCUGAGUCAGACUCGUCCGCGAGCAGCCGUAGUCCACCCCGCAGUAAACCGACAAUCAAAACGGAACCACCGGAGCGGGCACCUGCCGCGGCACCACCACCACCUUCAAUAUCACAUCAACCACCUCCAGUUCCGCCACCCGCCCCCGCCAUCGUCGUGAAAAAAGAGGAAAAACCACCGGUGCUGCCGGUGGAACCGGAACCGGACGUUCCCGUGCGACGCUACUACGGACGCAAGCGGGACGGGCAGAGCUCCAGCGAAGAUGACAUCACCAGCGACAGCUCCGGGGACGAGUCGUCGAAACCGGCGGCGGCAACCGAGCCGUCGCAUAGCAUCGCACCACCGCCACGAGAGCUGGGCGGAUACCUUCCGACGCCUUUUUCCAUCAAGCAGGAAAAGCUCGAAUCGUCGAGUUCCAGGUUUGGGGGUAGCGAACCUGCUGCCACCACCACCGUAGGUGGCUCUUCCUCCGCCACGCCCGACUCCAAAGUCAAGUUCGUCGUCGUCGUCAGCUGCCGCCGCCGCUGCUGCUGCUGCUGCUGUUGCUGCUUCGAAGUCACUUAAUCCCAGGGAUCGCUUGAAGCGAAAGAUGCAGAUUUUACUGAAUAAGCAAUUCAAGGCCGACAAGAAGGCCGAAAUCGAAAAGGUCGAGCGGCAGAUUCAGCUGCAGCAGGAACGUGAGGACGAGAUGCGUGAGCUGGCGUUGCGGUUGAGACGGAGGUGAGUUUAUUCUUUGGAAAAAC